AAGUUCUCAUUGGAUGACUGGGAGGAGAGGGGGACAUUGUACAAAAGCUGGGAACUAAUGUAGAGCCUCUGUCAUAAGGCCAAGCUGAGGUCUGAAACUGAUAGACGUCACUGCUCCUUUAUCCCUGCGGGCAUGGCAGGGCUGGCUGAAUUUUGUUCUCCCCAGGUGGAAAAUUAUUAGAAUGUGACCCUAGAAUGGCUGGCAGUCACAUCCCCAACUAGAUGAUGAGCCAAGAGCCCCCUUUGAUGAAGGACUUGGCCCAGCUGCUGUGAUUAUUGUUGGCACUCAACUUUGGGCUGUCAGCCUUCAGGAACUGCCUCAGCUACAGAGAGCCUCUUCACCCAAAGUCACCCCUGCCCUGGGCUGCCCACAUUCAAAGACUGGUGGCUGCAGCAGCCAGGCCAUCUCCAUCUAACUCGGGACAACUCUGAGGAGCCAUUCUACCUCCACAGUUUAUGGGUCUGCCUAGGCCAGAGUGUGGCCUGCAUCACAGCUCAGCUUUCUCUCUGCCCAGUCCUGCACCCAGCUUUUCCC
ensembl:lncRNA